GUGAAAUGACUGGGAACCAGCAGAGGUCUGAGCUUCAGGACAGGGUCUGCACCAGGCUGAGAUCGCCCGGAAGUAAGAGGACUGCAAGAACUCCAGGCGACAGCUCUGCUGGCUAGACGUCUCCUGAGCCCGCGUCUCAGGCGGGGCCUGGCUGGAGGUGGUCCCUGGGGUGUGACCUGAAAGGGUGCACUCUGGUCCCUGGCUCCGGCCUUCUCUCUCCGCUUCCUGGCUGCCAUGGACUGAGUAGCUGUCCUCUGCCAGGCCCCUCUGCCAGGAUGUGUCUGCCUCAGGGACAGUGACCCUGGACUGAAUCCUUUGAACCUGUGAGCUGGAGUAAACCCCUCCUUCCUGGGUACUGUGUCCGUUCAGGGAGAGCUGACUGGGACAGUGGGCCAUCAGGAGAUGUAAUUGGUUGGGGUUUACAAUCCAGAGUGUUUGUAUGUAAACAGGGCAGGUACUGGGAUUUAAAUCCGGCUUUCCACACAACUAAGUUUGUGUUGGUUUUGCCUACGUUGUUAACCCCGUAACUUCCCUUGUCUCCCCCUCCCUUGCUCUGGGUCUUUGUAACGAAACUGAGGCCAUCUCGGAAUUCUGUUUUCUCCAGGGCAGAGGAUGUGAUGAAGUUAAGGAUUGUGGGGAGGAGCUUAUCCUGCAUUAUCCCCCUGGGUCCUAAAAGCCUCAUUUGUGUCUUCGUAAGAGAGAGGCAGGAGAAGGUGAUGCUGGGCCACAUGAAGAUGGAGCAGAUUCAGAUGAGGCCACAGCAAAGGGACGCCAGGAGCCAGGAGACGCUGGCUGAGACAAGGGUGCAUCCGUUCCCAGAGCCUUUGGAAGGAGUGUGGCUGCCACCCGGACUUUGGACUUGUGGCCUCCAGACCGAGGAGGCCACCCAGCGUGUGGCGCUUGGCCAGCUGCCCCGGGGGCACAGACAUGGGAGUGCUGACCUCUGCACCUCUGAUCUCCUGCUGUCCCGGCUGGUGUUUGCUGCUCUCCUGCCCACCUGGCCGAGCACAUUCCCCACGUCUCUUCCGUGCCCGUCUCUGUGCCCAGACACCCAACAGCGAGCUGUCCCCAAAGGUAAAAGCAAGAAGCAUAUCUGUCACCGGGCACACACUGUCCCCAGCUGCUGCGUGUGUGGAACACCCUCCUCGUGGGCAGCUGCAUGAGGGACAGACAAGAGCUCUGAGAAGGGACCGUCCUCCUGGCCCCAGCUCCUCAGACAGCGAAACUUUCCAUUUUCAGGGUCCAUCAUGCACCAGUGAGUCAAGUCAUUGUGGUGUGGACAUGGGGACAGACAGACUGGUCAGCAGGACAGAACAGGAAUCCCAGAGAUAUCCCCAGAUCAUCUUUGUCAAAGGCACAAAAAUGCAUCAGCAGGAAAGACAACAAUGGUACUGGGCAGACACCCACGGGCAAAAUGUGGGCCUUGACCUGUGUCUCACGCCUUGCACAGAAAUUAACUCGGGGCUGGUUGCAGAUUAACUGCAAAGGGUAAAUGAUAAAACUUAACAAAAAUUCACAGGAUCCCAGGUUAGGGGGAAAUUUUAAAUAUGGCAAUGGAGGUACAACCCACAAGAGGAAAGAUGGGUGAACCAGACUUCAAAAUUAAAACUUCUGCUCUGGAAAAAGUCUUGUGCAGUGCUGGCUUUGACACACAUAUACUAAAAAGCCUUGCACCCGGGGUGAAAGGCCAUGCUGCAGAGGAUGAGGGUGUUUGCAAACCACUUACCCGACGAAGGACAGGAACCUGGAAUAUGCAGAGAACUCUCAGAACCCAGCACUUGGGAGGCUGAGGCAGGAGAAUCACUGUGAGUAGAGGCCAGCCUGAGCUACAUAGUCAGUUCAAGGCCAGCCUGAACUACGUAGCGAGACGC
rnacentral:lncRNA from 1 species